UUACAAGCCAWAUUARGGUGAAACCGCGAAAGGCUCAUUAWWUCAGUUAUGGUUCCUUAGAUCGUACCCACAAUUACUUGGAUAACUGUGGUAAUUCUASAGCUAAUACAUGCAAACAGAGCUCCGACCGGAGACGGAAGGAGUGCUUUUAUUAGAUCAAAACCAAUCGGUGGCGGGUUUCGCACUCGUCAUCGUACAACUUGGUGACUCUGAAUAACUUUACGCUGAUCGCAUGGUCAUCGCACCGGCGACGCAUCUUUCAAAUGUCUGCCUUAUCAACUGUCGAUGGUAGGUUCUGCGCCUACCAUGGUUGUAACGGGUAACGGGGAAUCAGGGUUCGAUUCCGGAGAGGGAGCCUGAGAAACGGCUACCACAUCCAAGGAAGGCARCAGGCGCGCAAAUUACCCACUCCCGGCACGGGGAGGUAGUGACGAAAAAUAACGAUACGGGACUCAUCCAAGGCCCCGUAAUCGGAA
rnacentral:rRNA from 1 species